rnacentral:rRNA from 1 species
GCGCUUUCGGAGGGGCCUGCGGCGGAUUAGCUAGUUGGUGGGGUAACGGCUUACCAAGGCGACGAUCCGUAGCUGGUCUGAGAGGAUGACCAGCCACACUGGGACUGAGACACGGCCCAG